rnacentral:rRNA from 1 species
GCGACCCCAGGUCAGCG